CAGGUUGCUCGACACCAGAAUCUCUCACGUGCAAGGAAACAGUUGUCGAUGAGAACCUCAUCUGCGCUGAGGUCAAUAGGUCACUGGUCCAACAAACACUGGCAGCUGUCAACUCCGC